UGCUGGUUAUAGUGACCUGCUGGUUAAGGUAACCUACUGGUUAUAGUGACCUACUGGUUAAGGUGACCUGCUGGUUAUAGUGACCUGCUGGUUAAGGUAACCUACUGGUUAAGGUAACCUACUGGUUAAGGUAACCUACUGGUUAAGGUGACCUGCUGGUUAUAGUGAC